GGGGCUCACUCGGGGCUCCUUGCAAACGAGAGCUACGGAGGGCCCCGGGAUGGUUUCCACCCUGGAGGCCUGAAAAUGAAUGCCAAGACAAAUGGACAGUGUGGUUGGGAGAAGCAGAAAGAUAUUGAGAAAACAAGAGGACGAUGGGAUAGGAUGCGAGUGCCCAGAUAAGAAGACAGAAUGAAAAGAAGCAGUGCCCAGGCCCGCUGGGCAGCUCUCCCUGAAGGGACAAAGGCUGUACCACUCCCAGCGUAGUUAACGCUGUUCUCCGAAGCAGCAUCGGUGGGCUGUACACUCUGUACUGUACCUGCCAGCCUGGUGA